CCAGACUCCUACGGGAGGCAGCAGUGGGGAAUAUUGCACAAUGGGGGGAACCCUGAUGCAGCGACGCCGCGUGAGUGAAGAAGUAUUUCGGUAUGUAAAGCUCUAUCAGCAGGGAAGAAGAAGGACGGUACCUGACUAAGAAGCCCCGGCUAACUACGUGCCAGCAGCCGCGGUAAUAUGUAGGGGGCAAGCGUUAUCCGGAUUUACUGGGUGUAAAGGGAGCGUAGACGGCAGCGCAAGUCCGAAGUGAAAGCCCGGGGCCCAACCCCGGGACUGCUUUGGAAACUGUGAAGCUGGAGUGCGGGAGGGGCAGGCGGAAUUCCUGGUGUAGCGGUGAAAUGCGUAGAUAUUAGGAGGAACACCGGCGGCGAAGGCGGCCUGCUGGACCGUAACUGACGUUGAGGCUCGAAAGCGUGGGGAGCAAACAGGAUUAGAUACCCCAGUAGC
rnacentral:rRNA from 1 species